rnacentral:rRNA from 1 species
GAUGAACGCUAGCUACAGGCUUAACACAUGCAAGUCGAGGGGCAGCGGGAUUGAAGCUUGCUUCAAUUGCCGGCGACCGGCGCACGGGUGAGUAACGCGUAUCCAACCUUCCGUACACUCAGGGAUAGCCUUUCGAAAGAAAGAUUAAUACCUGAUGGUAUGAUGAGAUCGCAUGGUAUCAUCAUUAAAGAUUUAUCGGUGUACGAUGGGGAUGCGUUCCAUUAGGUAGUAGGCGGGGUAACGGCCCACCUAGCCUACGAUGGAUAGGGGUUCUGAGAGGAAGGUCCCCCACAUUGGAACUGAGACACGGUCCAAAACUCCUACGGGAGGCAGCAGUGAGGAAUAUUGGUCAAUGGACGAGAGUCUGAACCAGCCAAGUAGCGUGCAGGAUGACGGCCCUAUGGGUUGUAAACUGCUUUUAUAAGGGAAUAAAGUGAGUCUCGUGAGACUUUUUGCAUGUACCUUAUGAAUAAGGACCGGCUAAUUCCGUGCCAGCAG